AGACAAGAAGCGAAUAAUCGCUGUUGAUUUCGACUCAUCCUUUGGCCUAAGAAGGGCCCUUGUUUU
rnacentral:tRNA from 1 species